GGGGAAUUUUGGACAAUGGGCGAAAGCCUGAUCCAGCAAUGCCGCGUGCAGGAUGAAGGCCUUCGGGUUGUAAACUGCUUUUGUACGGAACGAAAAAGCUUCUCCUAAUACGAGAGGCCCAUGACGGUACCGUAAGAAUAAGCACCGGCUAACUACGUGCCAGCAGCCGCGGUAAUACGUAGGGUGCGAGCGUUAAUCGGAAUUACUGGGCGUAAAGCGUGCGCAGGCGGUUAUGUAAGUCAGAUGUGAAAUCCCCGGGCUCAACCUGGGAACUGCAUUUGUGACUGCAUGGCUAGAGUACGGUAGAGGGGGAUGGAAUUCCGCGUGUAGCAGUGAAAUGCGUAGAUAUGCGGAGGAACACCGAUGGCGAAGGCAAUCCCCUGGACCUGUACUGACGCUCAUGCACGAAAGCGUGGGGAGCAAAC
rnacentral:rRNA from 1 species